rnacentral:rRNA from 1 species
AGUGAACGCUGGCGGUAGGCCUAACACAUGCAAGUCGAACGGCAGCACAGUAAGAGCUUGCUCUUACGGGUGGCGAGUGGCGGACGGGUGAGGAAUACAUCGGAAUCUACUUUUUCGUGGGGGAUAACGUAGGGAAACUUACGCUAAUACCGCAUACGUCCUACGGGUGAAAGCAGGGGAUCUUCGGACCUUGCGCGAUUGAAUGAGCUGAUGUCGGAUUAGCUAGUUGGCGGGGUAAAGGCCCACCAAGGCGACGAUCCGUAGCUGGUCUGAGAGGAUGAUCAGCCACACUGGAACUGAGACACGGUCCAGACUCCUACGGGAGGCAGCUGUAGGGAAUAUUGGACAAUGGGCGCAAGCCUGAUCCAGCCAUACCGCGUGGGUGAAGAAGGCCUUCGGGUUGUAAAGCCCUUUUGUUGGGAAAGAAAAGCAGCAGGUUAAUACCCCGCUGUUCUGACGGUACCCAAAGAAUAAGCACCGGCUAACUUCGUG